GGGUUGUGAGGUUAAGCGACUAAGCGUACACGGUGGAUGCCCUGGCAGUCAGAGGCGAUGAAGGACGUGCUAAUCUGCGAUAAGCGUCGGUAAGGUGAUAUGAACCGUUAUAACCGGCGAUUUCCGAAUGGGGAAACCCAGUGUGAUUCGUCACACUAUCAUUAACUGAAUCCAUAGGUUAAUGAGGCGAACCGGGGGAACUGAAACAUCUAAGUACCCCGAGGAAAAGAAAUCAACCGAGAUUCCCCCAGUAGCGGCGAGCGAACGGGGAGCAGCCCAGAGCCUGAAUCAGUGUGUGUGUUAGUGGAAGCGUCUGGAAAGGCGCGCGAUACAGGGUGACAGCCCCGUACACAAAAAUGCACAUACUGUGAGCUCGAUGAGUAGGGCGGGACACGUGGUAUCCUGUCUGAAUAUGGGGGGACCAUCCUCCAAGGCUAAAUACUCCUGACUGACCGAUAGUGAACCAGUACCGUGAGGGAAAGGCGAAAAGAACCCCGGCGAGGGGAGUGAAAAAGAACCUGAAACCGUGUACGUACAAGCAGUGGGAGCACAGAGCAAUCUGUGUGACUGCGUACCUUUUGUAUAAUGGGUCAGCGACUUAUAUUCUGUAGCAAGGUUAACCGAAUAGGGGAGCCGAAGGGAAACCGAGUCUUAACUGGGCGUUAAGUUGCAGGGUAUAGACCCGAAACCCGGUGAUCUAGCCAUGGGCAGGUUGAAGGUUGGGUAACACUAACUGGAGGACCGAACCGACUAAUGUUGAAAAAUUAGCGGAUGACUUGUGGCUGGGGGUGAAAGGCCAAUCAAACCGGGAGAUAGCUGGUUCUCCCCGAAAGCUAUUUAGGUAGCGCCUCGUGAAUUCAUCUCCGGGGGUAGAGCACUGUUUCGGCAAGGGGGUCAUCCCGACUUACCAACCCGAUGCAAACUGCGAAUACCGGAGAAUGUUAUCACGGGAGACACACGGCGGGUGCUAACGUCCGUCGUGAAGAGGGAAACAACCCAGACCGCCAGCUAAGGUCCCAAAGUCAUGGUUAAGUGGGAAACGAUGUGGGAAGGCCCAGACAGCCAGGAUGUUGGCUUAGAAGCAGCCAUCAUUUAAAGAAAGCGUAAUAGCUCACUGGUCGAGUCGGCCUGCGCGGAAGAUGUAACGGGGCUAAACCAUGCACCGAAGCUGCGGCAGCGACGCUUAUGCGUUGUUGGGUAGGGGAGCGUUCUGUAAGCCUGCGAAGGUGUGCUGUGAGGCAUGCUGGAGGUAUCAGAAGUGCGAAUGCUGACAUAAGUAACGAUAAAGCGGGUGAAAAGCCCGCUCGCCGGAAGACCAAGGGUUCCUGUCCAACGUUAAUCGGGGCAGGGUGAGUCGACCCCUAAGGCGAGGCCGAAAGGCGUAGUCGAUGGGAAACAGGUUAAUAUUCCUGUACUUGGUGUUACUGCGAAGGGGGGACGGAGAAGGCUAUGUUGGCCGGGCGACGGUUGUCCCGGUUUAAGCGUGUAGGCUGGUUUUCCAGGCAAAUCCGGAAAACUAAGGCUGAGGCGUGAUGACGAGGCACUACGGUGCUGAAGCAACAAAUGCCCUGCUUCCAGGAAAAGCCUCUAAGCAUCAGGUAACAUCAAAUCGUACCCCAAACCGACACAGGUGGUCAGGUAGAGAAUACCAAGGCGCUUGAGAGAACUCGGGUGAAGGAACUAGGCAAAAUGGUGCCGUAACUUCGGGAGAAGGCACGCUGAUAUGUAGGUGAAGCGACUUGCUCGUGGAGCUGAAAUCAGUCGAAGAUACCAGCUGGCUGCAACUGUUUAUUAAAAACACAGCACUGUGCAAACACGAAAGUGGACGUAUACGGUGUGACGCCUGCCCGGUGCCGGAAGGUUAAUUGAUGGGGUCAGCGCAAGCGAAGCUCUUGAUCGAAGCCCCGGUAAACGGCGGCCGUAACUAUAACGGUCCUAAGGUAGCGAAAUUCCUUGUCGGGUAAGUUCCGACCUGCACGAAUGGCGUAAUGAUGGCCAGGCUGUCUCCACCCGAGACUCAGUGAAAUUGAACUCGCUGUGAAGAUGCAGUGUACCCGCGGCAAGACGGAAAGACCCCGUGAACCUUUACUAUAGCUUGACACUGAACAUUGAGCCUUGAUGUGUAGGAUAGGUGGGAGGCUUUGAAGUGUGGACGCCAGUCUGCAUGGAGCCGACCUUGAAAUACCACCCUUUAAUGUUUGAUGUUCUAACGUUGACCCGUAAUCCGGGUUGCGGACAGUGUCUGGUGGGUAGUUUGACUGGGGCGGUCUCCUCCUAAAGAGUAACGGAGGAGCACGAAGGUUGGCUAAUCCUGGUCGGACAUCAGGAGGUUAGUGCAAUGGCAUAAGCCAGCUUGACUGCGAGCGUGACGGCGCGAGCAGGUGCGAAAGCAGGUCAUAGUGAUCCGGUGGUUCUGAAUGGAAGGGCCAUCGCUCAACGGAUAAAAGGUACUCCGGGGAUAACAGGCUGAUACCGCCCAAGAGUUCAUAUCGACGGCGGUGUUUGGCACCUCGAUGUCGGCUCAUCACAUCCUGGGGCUGAAGUAGGUCCCAAGGGUAUGGCUGUUCGCCAUUUAAAGUGGUACGCGAGCUGGGUUUAGAACGUCGUGAGACAGUUCGGUCCCUAUCUGCCGUGGGCGCUGGAGAACUGAGGGGGGCUGCUCCUAGUACGAGAGGACCGGAGUGGACGCAUCACUGGUGUUCGGGUUGUCAUGCCAAUGGCACUGCCCGGUAGCUAAAUGCGGAAGAGAUAAGUGCUGAAAGCAUCUAAGCACGAAACUUGCCCCGAGAUGAGUUCUCCCUGACUCCUUGAGAGUCCUGAAGGAACGUUGAAGACGACGACGUUGAUAGGCCGGGUGUGUAAGCGCAGCGAUGCGUUGAGCUAACCGGUACUAAUGAACCGUGAGGCUUAACCUUACAACGCCGAAGGUGUUU
rnacentral:rRNA from 1 species